UUAUUCCAAUCUGAGUUGCAUUACAGGAAAACUCCUUACAUUUUUUGGUCCUUCGAGCCGGAUUAACAUAACACUUUUGUGUGAUCCUACGGGAAAACCUCAUCGAGUCCUGACGUCGUGAGAAGCCCGCGCUGAAGUCUGUCGACAGCUCCUGUCUAGGUACAGGAUAAAAGACCAGAGACAUGAAUUCGGGUUCUGGCCAGCGUUCUUAGAAGUGGUCCACGACGGUGGGGGUCGAUGAGGCGGACCUGAGAGACCGGCAGUGAAUCAGCAAGCAGUAUCUUGCAGGUUGAAGGCAGGUGAUUGGAUCCUGAUAAGGGUGCUCCAGAGGAAAAAUGGGAGCUCACCCCGUUGGGAAGGACCCUACCAAGCACUCCUGACCACACCAACAGCCUGCAAAAUAGCAGAAAGACCGUCCUGGAUCCAUCAAAGCCACUGUAAAGGAGUAAGCGAGAGCAUAGACAUCUUACACUGACUUCCUUACCCUCGGGUGAUUCGUCAGGUGAAGGAAGUGCCGAUUGGGUAUAUCCCGCACUUUUCUCUUCUUGCCUAAGUCCCCUGAGACGUGAGGUAAGCCAGGUAAACAUGAAGUCGCUCUUAAUCUCACUAACUCUGACAGUCCUAGUGGCAGGAUGUCUCAUCCCACUGAAGAUGGAUCCGAGGGAACGAACAAAGAAAGCUUGGACACAUGACAACUCACACCUGGACAAGAUGACGCAGGACCACAAUCAUCCCUGGAUGAACAACGCGUGGUACAGAUAUGUAUACAA